CACCACAGCUCACAGCAAUGCUGGAUCCUUAACCCACUGAGCAAGGCCAGGGAUUGAACCUGUAACCUCAUGGUUCCUAGUCAGAUUCGUUAACCACUGCGCCACGACAGGAACUCCAGGAGUAAUUUUUUACAGCUAAGAUGCUCCAUAGAAAGAAAACAUGGGAAGAACUAAAGUAUUAAGUUAUCUUAGGUCUUUUCCAACCCCAUUCUUCAUCUUCAGAAAAGCGUAACUGACAUGUCAGUCUAGUUCAGUGGUUCUCAAAGGGUGAUCCAGGAACCCCCAAUCCCCGUGACUCUCAGGAGUCCAGAAUCCAAGGUACUCCCCUAACAACAUUGGUAUUUGCCUUGUUCACUUUUCCUCACAAGCUUAGUGUUUUCCAGAGGAUAAAUAAUGUGACAGCAAUGACAUGGCUCUGUAGCAAAUGUCGUCUUAAAAACAAUUCCGUUUCUAACAGGACACCUAUCAACUGAUAGAGCCCUAAAGACAAAACUCCUUGACAGUCUUCAGUACAUUUUAAAGGAGUAAGGGGGUUCCUGAGAGCAAAAAUUUGGAAUCAUAGCCAGGAUCCAGGGACCUAAAAUUUUCAUUUUUCCUUUAGCUCUGGGUAUAGACUUGUCUAAUCUGUUCUUUAAAGUCAGUUUUGACAAAUGGUGAGUCAACACCUGGGCUUGUGGGUUUUUUAGUCACUAAAAACAAUACCGCCUAAGAGCCAACAGAAUAGGAAGAACUUCUGGGAAGCAACGAGCAGCCCGUCUGGAACAUGAAUCAAAGCAUGAAACGAAUCUGCAACUUGGAUUCGCUCCACAGAUUGCAGAGUAACUAGACAAGGGGUUCGGGAACCCAGAGGGUCUGGACCCAACUGGCUGUAUGUUGGGUGAAACGUGCAACAGCUUGGAAGUCACUUCAAGUGGGAACCCACCCAAUUCCAGACCCACUCACGAGCCCCGGCAGACGGGGCACAUGCCGUUUCCCUCCCCGCCACCAGGUCGUUCCUUAAAUCAGACACCAGCACGAGGUUGUCAUUCACUUUUCCGCAUACUUUAUUUGUUACAAACAUACAAUUUUUUAAAUAUAGACUGUAAAACUCCAUUUGCAAAAGUCUGUUAUGGUAAGGAGUGCACACCAGCAAUACUAAGAGUGCUGCAGAACGACUCUCGGCAAACGAGUCAUUUUUACAUAAUCGAAAAGUCACUUCUCUCCUUCCCCUUCUCACUGAUCAAGGCCACACUAUUCUCAAGUGAAUAUCUACUGAGAGAUCAGUUGUGCAUUGGACAAAGUACCAUAACUGGGUUAAAAAUGAAAACAAAAUUUACAGUGAAGAAUACCUAUGUGCACAUGGCUUACACACUCAAGCUUCUCAAUUUCAUCUACCUCAAGAGCAAGGUAGACACAGACCAAUAG
rnacentral:lncRNA from 1 species